UACGUAGGGUGCAAGCGUUGUCCGGAAUUAUUGGGCGUAAAGAGCUCGUAGGCGGUCUGUCGCGUCGGAUGUGAAAACCCAGGGCUCAACCCUGGGCCUGCAUUCGAUACGGGCAGACUAGAGUUCGGUAGGGGAGACUGGAAUUCCUGGUGUAGCGGUGAAAUGCGCAGAUAUCAGGAGGAACACCGGUGGCGAAGGCGGGUCUCUGGGCCGAAACUGACGCUGAGACGCGAAAGCGUGGGGAGCAAACAGG
rnacentral:rRNA from 1 species